rnacentral:rRNA from 1 species
UACACUCCUACGGGAGGCAGCAGUGGGGAAUAUUGGACAAUGGGCGCAAGCCUGAUCCAGCCAUGCCGCGUGAGUGAUGAAGGCCCUAGGGUUGUAAAGCUCUUUCACCGGUGAAGAUAAUGACGGUAACCGGAGAAGAAGCCCCGGCUAACUUCGUGCCAGCAGCCGCGGUAAUACGAAGGGGGCUAGCGUUGUUCGGAUUUACUGGGCGUAAAGCGCACGUAGGCGGACUAUUAAGUCAGGGGUGAAAUCCCGGGGCUCAACCCCGGAACUGCCUUUGAUACUGGUAGUCUUGAGUUCGAGAGAGGUGAGUGGAAUUCCGGGUGUAGAGGUGAAAUUCGUAGAUAUUCGGAGGAACACCAGUGGCGAAGGCGGCUCACUGGCUCGAUACUGACGCUGAGGUGCGAAAGCGUGGGGAGCAAACAGGAUUAGAUACCCUUGUAGUCCC